AGUAAUGUCUGGGAAACUGCCUGAUGGAGGGGGAUAACUACUGGAAACGGUAGCUAAUACCGCAUAACGUCGCAAGACCAAAGAGGGGGGCCUUCGGGCCUCAUGCCAUCAGAUGUGCCCAGAUGGGAUUAGCUAGUAGGUGGGGUAACGGCUCACCUAGGCGACGAUCCCUAGCUGGUCUGAGAGGAUGACCAGCCACACUGGAACUGAGACACGGUCCAG
rnacentral:rRNA from 1 species